rnacentral:rRNA from 1 species
UACGAAGGGGGCUAGCGUUGUUCGGAAUCACUGGGCGUAAAGCGCACGUAGGCGGAUUGUUAAGUCGGGGGUGAAAUCCUGGAGCUCAACUCCAGAACUGCCCUCGAUACUGGCGAUCUCGAGUUCGGGAGAGGUGAGUGGAACUGCGAGUGUAGAGGUGAAAUUCGUAGAUAUUCGCAAGAACACCAGUGGCGAAGGCGGCUCACCGGCCCGAUACUGACGCUGAGGUGCGAAAGCGUGGGGAGCAAACAGG